rnacentral:lncRNA from 1 species
AUGGUCUCAGGUAAAGUUUUAACCCUGAAAGAGUUCUGGAAGGAAGAUUACUACAUACUUUCCUGUAUGACAUUAAUUGAGAAAUCCUGGGCCAAUGUCUGUCUGAGGAAACGUAGAUCUGCCUGUUCACAGGAUAGAGACUUUGAAGACUGUGUAGAGGAGCUUUCAAUUGACCAACUUGAGUUACAACCAGCCCUUGGAAAUCAAUUGACAGUCUAGCAGCUUUGCACAACUGGUCUUGGCUGCUACUCUGCCUGGCAGUGUCUUUCUUUCAAUAGUGCCUUCACCACCAUCUCUCUCCAAGCACCACAGCAAAGGGUGUUCCGGUUCCUGCCCACAGCACGGUGAGAUCUCGGGAGUGGCUUGGAGCCCCACCUUCAUACGGUGCUCCUCUACGUGGGUCAGCCAAUCAGUGUGAAGCUCCUCGGCUGUGUUCCAUUUCCUGCC